rnacentral:ncRNA from 1 species
AAAUUAAUUCGUCCUCUCAUAUAUCUUCGAUAAUAUGGUUCGAAAGUUUCUACGGGAUAACCGGAAAUUAUCCCGCUAUGAGUUGAAUG